AGAGAUCCCAGGAUUGUGGUCGACCUGUGGAGGAAGUGUGCGGUGAGUCUAGAGGUUGUACGUAUUAAAAGGGUGGGGAUUUGGAGUGCAGACAAAGAGAAGAGGUUUUGUUGUUAAGAAUCAUAAGUAAUUGUUUAUUUGCUGGUUGCAAGUUCAGAAGUUUGGAGCUGGGUUUGAGCCAAAUUUUUUUUUUUUUAUACCAAUAUGUUUGUCGUUAAUUAUUAUAAUGUUUAGUAUUGAUUAAAGGUGUUUUGCUGUUAGAAUUGAUCUAAGGUCAACUCAGAUAUUGCUCUACAUGUAGCUUCAACUUAGUUAUCCAGUUUUGUUAACCAAAAUUGAUAAUUUAUUGUUUGUUGCUGUAAUGCUUAUUUUGUGUUUUGGUUCCACAAUCAACUUUCUCAUUCAUAUAACUUACUCUAAGAGUUGUCAUGGAUACUUAAUGGGAGUUAAUGAUAUCUGUGUAAUGCCGAAUGCCACAAAUUAAGAGCCAUCAAAGUGCCAUUAUCCAGUAAUUACCCCAGCAAUGUCAAGCACUCCUAUUGAUUUACCUUAGGGUAAUAGUAUUCAGGUAAAUUAGCUAAGGUGACCACUGAUGCAUGUAGCUUUGAUUACAAGACACUACAUGUGUCAGAGACUAAUAGCUUAGGAAAAGCAUAGGUUUCAAGUCUAGACAAAACCCUCAGAAAUCAAAUGGCCAAAGAGAUAUGCAGUGAAAGUCCAUGCUAUUUUAGCUUACAGAUUCUGAGCUAGAUAAAUCCAUCAACCCUUUAGACCAAUCCAUCUUGAUGGAUUGGCUUCUGUCUGGGAUGUACUACUCAGCUACUCAUGACAAAACUAGGGGAGGUAAUCCACCACGUGCUAAAGUUCAGAUGCAGGAAUAGUUCAUUUUAAGUAUUAAUUCACACUUGCUCUAUAUCAUUUUUGGUAAGAAGAAGAAAAAAGUUGAUGCAUGUAGUACAUGGAUUCUACUUAUGGCAAUGUACUGCUUCAUCUCAUACCCUCACUUUAUAAUUCUGUAGUAGCAAUCAAAGAAGACAAUGCUCUAGCUCUUGCUAUAAUUCCAUAUUAGAUUGAGAAAAAUUUGUCAAAUAUGCAUCGUGGAAUUUAAUGAUCAACCAUUUUACCUUGCAGGGACUAGAAUUGGUAGAACUUUAAAAUGGCAAUGAUACACUGAAUCUCAAGAGAGAUCCAAGAUUUUGGUCAAUUUUUGGAGGAAGCUUUAGCUUUGUUUUAGAAGAAGUGGCUGCUAAAUUUCAGUUAUCUAAAAUUCUGCACUUGAAUGAGUUUUUUCUUCCUAAAUUUUGUGUAUUAGUAUAUAUUAACGUGUGAAUAAAAAUAAUUUCAAUUUGAAUGGAGAUCAAACUAAUGAUGUCUCCUGUUAUUAAGA